UACGUAGGGUGCGAGCGUUGUCCGGAAUUACUGGGCGUAAAGAGCUCGUAGGUGGUUUGUCGCGUUGUCCGUGAAAUUCCCUGGCUUAACUGGGGCGUGCGGGCGAUACGGGCAGACUGGAGUACUGCAGGGGAGACUGGAAUUCCUGGUGUAGCGGUGGAAUGCGCAGAUAUCAGGAGGGAACACCCGGGUGGCGAAGGGCGGGGUCU
rnacentral:rRNA from 1 species